rnacentral:sRNA from 1 species
GCUUGUUCGGUUUUACUCCUCCUCCCAAAAACCGGACCCAAAGCGCGAUACUCCUCCUCCCAAUCGCGCUUUAUAGAUUCGCCCACUGCACACUCCUCCUCCCAGUGCAGUGGGCGUUCU